rnacentral:rRNA from 1 species
UACGAAGGGGGCUAGCGUUGUUCGGAAUCACUGGGCGUAAAGCGUACGUAGGCGGAUCGUUAAGUCAGGGGUGAAAGCCUGGAACUCAACUCCAGAACUGCCUUUGAUACUGGCGAUCUUGAGACCGGGAGAGGUGAGUGGAACUGCUAGUGUAGAGGUGAAAUUCGUAGAUAUUAGCAAGAACACCGGUGGCGAAGGCGGGUCUCUGGGCCGAUACUGACGCUGAGGAGCGAAAGCGUGGGGAGCGAACAAG